UGGAACUGAUGAACACUGCUUGAAAUGAUGUGAGGAAAAAUCACAAUGAAAGUUUCUCAAGAUAGUCAAGUACUGAUCCAG
ensembl:snoRNA